CAAAGAAGUGGAUGACAAAUCCUUGCUGGUAGCCCAGCGCCGACGUCCCAGGAUCUGACUGGAACUGGAUGGUGACAUCGGCCAUGGAGAAAGCAAGUGGAAGUUCCAGACAGCGAUGGAGAUGUGAGACGACCCCUGCCGCACUCCUCUGCUUGGCAGCGGAGCCUUCUCUGUGGGGACCCACUCACCAAUGCAGACAGGCUCUUGGGCAUCCCAGAAGGGCUGGGUAGCAUUGAGACAGAAAGGGGCCAUAGAGAUGGCCAGAUGCAAAGGCACCUGCUACCAAGUCUGACGACCUGAGUUUGAUCCCGGGGACCCACAUGGUGGGAGAAGAGGAGAGCUCUGAUUUCCACAAACUGCCCUCACAUUAAAUAAAUAAGUAAUUUUUUAAAGAUUAAAAAUGACAGUUAGUGUACUAAAAUGGAAUAGAAGGAAGAGAACUCAGAGAAAUCAAACACCCAGCUCAAAGUCGGCAGCUAGCAAGAAGUCCAUCUCCUCAGUCAGAGCAUGGCCCGUUUCCUCAUGUCCCACUCCUUUCCUGAGGCAUUCUCAGUUGCCACAUGGGGCCUAGACUGGAUCCCAGGUGGGUGAGGAAACCCAGUCUGGUUAGCUAAAGACCUCCAGAUGGUCAUUGUCAAGUCCCUUCAGCUCCUGCCUGACCUAGACUGUAAUAACACCAGAGCCACCCCGGAGGGCGGGCAGCCAGUCCUGGCUGGUUCCUCUCUCUCUUCCUCAGGUCUUACCUUGGUA